AUGAAGUCAUCUUCCAGCAGAAACAUGCUACCAAAGACAGAGAGUCCUUUCGGAUUAUUAGUCCCCUUCACCUGUGAAAAGACGGACGUCGCUGAUAUUCUUCUAGGACAUUUUGAACACCUGGAGCACAUCCAGCUAGCCUGCGCCCGGGACACCACCGGGGCUGUUCUUCUGGAAAGAAACAGAGCUGUUCCAGGCUCCUGCCGCCUCCGAGCCUUCGGGGACGGGGCUCUGCCGGGCCCAUCAGCCAGGCAGUAAGCGUGUUUCCACACAAUUUGGAAAACAGAGAUUUUUCCUCAGAGGCAUCGUAGCCAGCCUUGGCUGCGAGCGGGCUAGUUUACGCUUUCCAAGGCCUCCUGGUUCUACGUUUGUCUUGCACCAGAGCCAAGAGCAGUGUUAUAAAAAUGUCUACAGACAGCAAUCCUGUGCGUGUGCGUGUGCGUGUGCCUGAGCACACCUGUAAUUCUUGACUACGUGCCAAAGAAGUCAGGAGGCUUUCUUGCGGUGUGUGUGAGAUGGUGAGAAGUGUGACUUCUAUCCAGCAAGGGUCCAGAUCUACCACCGCCUGAUGAAGAAGAGAUGCUUGGCUUGUUGGUUACAGCUUCUUCGGUUAUGAGAACAUCUAGUAAGCUUUUUGGCCAGAAGCUUCUCUGAGGUCAUAUUUUCUGAAAAUAGUGACUCCGGGUUCUUGCUCUGAGGAGCAUUUGGCAGCCAAGGUGCUGCACAGAGGCGGGUCUCCUAUUGAAUGGAGAGGGAAGCCCGGGCUUGGCGACUCACUCCAGGUGGUAUUUGAAGCCAGUGGCAGAGCUAGGCUCAUUAUUAAGACCACUGCUGAUUUCUUGCACUAUCGUAGGACUCACACAUGGACCAGGAGUCUGAUGACCAAGUUUUUCACAGUACAAACUUCACCUCCACCUAAGCAUUCCCCUGGAGGGCUGAAAGAAAGAAGCAAUCCCCUGCUGCAUUGUUGCAUUGCCCAGAAAAGCGGCACCCAACCUAUUUUAACAACACUAUUUAGAAAGUCUUUGCUUCAUGUUGUUGGCACUGAACAGCCUCGAUAGCAAGGGGGCAGGGGGCUGUGCAAGCAGGGGCAUGGCCCAGGAGGGCAGGAUCUGUCUCGCAGAAUCCCUCACAGCAAACCAGAACAAUAAGGACAGGAAAAUAAGAAGUGUGCAUGCUUUUAAUGCCGCAAACCAAGCACAAAGGUAAGCCCUGCUCUAUCUUUGGACGUUUCCAGGGUGAGGGAGCAAGCAGCUUGCAGCCAGAGCCCGCUGUUGAAGCAGGAGAAUUUAAUGCUGCCUGACAGUGCUUCCCCUGGUGGGCUCGCGCUCUGCACCAGCGCUCUGCUUCGCUCCCGCAUGGAGCAGAUGCCGCUGUUAUUGCUGCUCAGAGGCAGCACCGAGACGUACAAUUUCCAUGUGCAGAUAUUUCUCUGGCGUUACAUAACCCGUGUAUUUAACACGCACUAAAUUUUCACCGCAAAUUGGCUGCCGUGGGGGCACUCAGGUUUUAAAAAAGCUGCUUCCUUCCCAAGACGUGUAGUUACACUACGGCCUUGGUUUGAUCCGAUUAUGAAAGCCACACUCACGAAUGAAGUGCGCAUGGGGCUGUGGGAUCUCAUCAUUAAAAAAUAAAAAGAAGUGAAUUCCCA
rnacentral:lncRNA from 1 species